AACGAACGCUGGCGGCAGGCCUAACACAUGCAAGUCGAGCGGACAUCUUCGGAUGUUAGCGGCGGACGGGUGAGUAACGCGUGGGAACGUGCCCUUUGCUUCGGAAUAGCCUCGGGAAACUGGGAGUAAUACCGGAUGUACCCUUUGGGGGAAAGAUUUAUCGGCAAAGGAUCAGCCCGCGUUGGAUUAGGUAGUUGGUGGGGUAAUGGCCUACCAAGCCGACGAUCCAUAGCUGGUUUGAGAGGAUGAUCAGCCACACUGGGACUGAGACACGGCCCAGACUCCUACGGGAGGCAGCAGUGGGGAAUCUUAGACAAUGGGGGAAACCCUGAUCUAGCCAUGCCGCGUGAGCGAUGAAGGCCUUAGGGUUGUAAAGCUCUUUCACCGGGGAAGAUAAUGACGGUACCCGGAGAAGAAGCCCCGGCUAACUCCGUG
rnacentral:rRNA from 1 species